GACGACGCUGGCGGCGUGCCUAACACAUGCAAGUCGAGCGGAGUCGAUCGACGGAAGCCUUCGGGCGGAAGAUGGUUGACUUAGCGGCGGAUGGGUGAGUAACGCGUGGGCAACCUGCCUCGAAGACCGGGAUAACAGCCCGAAAGGGCUGCUAAUACCGGAUGUGGUCAAAGAUCCGCAUGGAUUUUUGAUUAAAGGGGAAACCCGUUUCGAGAUGGGCCCGCGUCCUAUCAGCUAGUUGGUGAGGUAAAAGCUCACCAAGGCGACGACGGGUAGCCGGCCUGAGAGGGUGACCGGCCACACUGGAACUGAGACACGGUCCAGACUCCUACGGGGGGCAGCAGUGGGGAAUCUUCCACAAUGGGCGAAAGCCUGAUGGAGCGACGCCGCGUGAGCGAAGAAGGCCUUCGGGUUGUAAAGCUCUGUCUGGAGGGACGAAGGAAGUGACGGUACCUCCGGAGGAAGCCACGGCUAACUACGUG
rnacentral:rRNA from 1 species